rfam:Pseudogymnoascus pannorum VKM F-4246 contig_3357, whole genome shotgun sequence.
GAGAGAUUAGCUUAAUUGGUAGAGCAACCGUUUUACACACGGUAGGUUGAAUGUUCGAGUCAUUUAUCUCUUA